UGAAUGUGACAAGUCUCUUCAGUUUCCCAGCUGUGCACAAGGCUCUGAACAUCAGCCAGCAACAAGCAGGGUCCAAGAGUCAGAAAUUUAUCUGAUGAAAAUUAAGUCUUACGUGCCAAAGACAAAACAUACCCUCAGCAUUCCCAGAAGCAAAACAAUCAAAA